rnacentral:rRNA from 1 species
AUUGAACGCUGGCGGCAGGCCUAACACAUGCAAGUCGAACGGUAACAGGAAGCAGCUUGCUGCUUUGCUGACGAGUGGCGGACGGGUGAGUAAUGUCUGGGAAACUGCCUGAUGGAGGGGGAUAACUACUGGAAACGGUAGCUAAUACCGCAUAACGUCGCAAGACCAAAGAGGGGGACCUUCGGGCCUCUUGCCAUCGGAUGUGCCCAGAUGGGAUUAGCUAGUAGGUGGGGUAACGGCUCACCUAGGCGACGAUCCCUAGCUGGUCUGAGAGGACGACCAGCCACACUGGAACUGAGACACGGUCCAGACUCCUACGGGAGGCAGCAGUGGGGAAUAUUGCACAAUGGGCGCAAGCCUGAU